rnacentral:rRNA from 1 species
UACGUAGGGAGCAAGCGUUGUCCGGAAUCAUUGGGCGUAAAGGGCGCGUAGGCGGCCGUGCAAGUGGAAGGUGAAAUCCCUCGGCUCAACCGAGGAACUGCCUUUCAAACUGCUUGGCUUGAGUCCGGGAGAGGUGAGUGGAAUUCCCAGUGUAGCGGUGAAAUGCGUAGAUAUUGGGAGGAACACCAGUGGCGAAGGCUGCUCACUGGACCGGAACUGACGCUGAGGCGCGAAAGCGUGGGGAGCAAACGGG